rnacentral:rRNA from 1 species
UGGGGAAUAUUGGGCAAUGGGCGCAAGCCUGACCCAGCAACGCCGCGUGAAGGAAGAAGGCUUUCGGGUUGUAAACUUCUUUUCUCAGGGACGAAGCAAGUGACGGUACCUGAGGAAUAAGCCACGGCUAACUACGUGCCAGCAGCCGCGGUAAUACGUAGGUGGCAAGCGUUAUCCGGAUUUACUGGGUGUAAAGGGCGUGUAGGCGGGGACGCAAGUCAGAUGUGAAAACCACGGGCUCAACCUGUGGCCUGCAUUUGAAACUGUGUUUCUUGAGUACUGGAGAGGCAGACGGAAUUCCUA